UGAAAGUUUGUACAGCGCUGAUUUGCCAUUGGCUGCAAGGAAAGUGCUGCGCUUGCGCGGAAGCUUGCGUCUGCGCCCCUCCCCCAAACCGAGGGCGGGUGUUUGUCGGGUUUUGCGGCCUCCAGGCAGGGGCCCAAAGUCGGUUUCAGAGGCUACGUCCAGACUACCGGCCAUAUCGAAGGGUUAAAAUCGAUUGCUUGGGCAUCGAUAUAUCGCGUCUCAUCUAGACGCGAUAUAUCGAUCCCCGAGCGCACAUAUAUCGAUUCCGGAACUCCAUCAAUCCCAACGGAGUUGCGGAAUCGACAGGUUGAGCCGCGAACAUUGAUCCCGUGCGGUGAGGACGGGUGAGUAAUCCGAUCUUAGAUAUUCGACUUCAGCUACGUUAUUCACGUAGCUGAAGUUGCGUAUCUAAGAUCGAUUUCCCCUCGUAGUGUGGACCAGCCCAGAUUCCGCUCCUCCCCGGUAACUACCAUGUGUGUGGCACGACUUGUUCACCAGCGUUGCAGGAGCAGGGCCCAGCCCUUGGGCUGGUCUGUAGAGGACAAGGACAGAUUUUUUGCCUUUAUAGUCAGUGUCCUUUGGAAUCACAGAACAGUCUGUGCAGGGUUAACAAGUUUUCAAUAAACUGUUAAUUAGCAUUGGUUUCAGAGUAGGAGCCCUGUCAGUCUGUAGCCCCAAAAAGAACAGGAGUACUUGUGGCACCUUAGGGCUUGACUACACUGGAGAGGUGUACUGCUGUUGGUGACAUUACAGUGCUGCAACUUACCGUCUAUACUUGCAAGGCACAUACAGCGCUAUAUCUCCCUGCCUACAGUGCUGCAUGUACUCCACCUUGGCCUGGGGAAUAACGACCGUAGCACUGGUGAUGCAGCGCUUCUCCGCCAGUAUGGCCACCAAAAGCGCUGUUAUUGGCCUCCAGAGGUAUUCGGAGGUAUCCCAGAAUGCCUGUUCAGCCACUCUGCUCAUCAGUUUGAAUUGUACUGCUCUGGCCUCAGGUGACCCGCCCUUUAAAUGCCCUGGGAAUUGUAAAAAUCCCCUUCAUGUUUGCUCAGCCAGGUGUGGAGUGCAAUCAGUGAAUCUUUCCAGGUGACCAUGCCUCCACGCGCCAAACGAGCCCCAGCAUGGAGCAGUGGAGAGUUGCUGGACCUCAUCAGUGUUUGGGGGGAGGAAGCUGUGCAGUCGCAGCUGCGCUUCAGCCAUAGGAAUUAUGAUACCUUUGGGCGGGUAUCAGAGGCUAUGCUGGAAAGGGGCCAUGACCAGGACACACUGCAGUGCAGGGUUAAAGUGAAGGAGCUGCGGAGUGCCUAUUGCAAAGCCCGCGAGGGAAACCGCCGCUCUGGCACUGCCCCCAUGACCUGCCGUUUUUACAGAGAGCUGGACGCGAUACUUGGGGUUGACCCCACCGCCAAUCCGAGGACCAUGAUGGACACUUCAGAGUGGGGGGGGGGGCGGAGGAGGAGGUGGGGAGGAGGAAACCGAGAGUGAGAGUACUGGGGUGGAGGGUCCCUGGAGGCAUGCUGCCAGGAGCUCUUCUCAAGCCAGGAGGAAGGUAGCCAGUCGCAGCAGCUGGUACUUGGUGGAGGACAAACAGAGGAGCGGGUUCCUGCAACCUUGAGUUCUCGGCUGCCCGUGUUAUCAACAGCUCAAAGACUCCAAAACCUCCGGAAGAAGCUGCGAAAAAGCAAAGAAGACCUGCUGCAAGCAGUUAUGGAUCACUCUGCCACAGAGAAUCAAAAAGUGCAGGACUGGAGGGAAAGGGAAAGCGGGAUCCGCCAGAAAAACGCAGCGGCCAGGAAGAAAAGCACAAAGCAGCUGAUAAGCAUCCUGGCACGCCAAGCGGACUCUAUCAAGGCGCUCAUAACCAUGCAGGCAGAGCACUACCGCAUCGCCCCUCCCCCCACAAAGCUCUUUCCCUUGUGCCCCAAUGUCAGCUCAAAACCCCCUUCCCCAGCAUCCAGGUUCUUACCACCACCAGCUGCCUCCAACACCUGUACGUUCACCAACCAGCCCUGAGAACUACGACCCUUACCCUCUGCACUCAACCCCCAUCACCAUGCGGUAUAGGCAUCCUGAAGUGCAGCAGUCAUUGCACAGCACUCCAGACAGGACAUAUUCAAACCUGUGGCUGUACAGUUCCCCACCCCACCCCCCGGCUCUUUUAGGUUCCCAAAAUGUUGUGUGUCUGUCAAUAAAGUUAUUUUCUUUUCAAUAAAUGAA